ACCCGCGAUCCAUCGUCUCCGACACAGCGCAGCACCACCAUGCCGUUCCGCCGCGCCGCUCCACCGUUUCUCCGCGACGCCGGCGACGCCUUGCAGCUCCACCACGCCGCGCCGCGAAGCUUCACCGUUCCCCGCGCAGCACCCCUCUCCCCCACGCACCUCCCCCGUUCCCCUUUCCCCAUCCCUAAAUUUCCCACCUUUUCCCCAUCCCCUUCCUCGACUGCCUCGUUGCUGACGUCGCCGUGCUACGGACGACACGGGGUCGCUCAUGGAUUCACCAACGAGCUGCGCUAUCAUCCUCUCCCCUCUCCUUUUGGGAUGCGGGUGCGGAUCCCCAUUGACCUGUGGAUCCUCCGGUCUUCCCUUCCUGCAACAGCCCAUGGAAGAUGUCUGUGGCGAGCGAGCUGAGCAGGUUGGAUCACCAGAACGGCGCCGCCGUCGCGCCGUCCUUCCAGCCGACCUGCCCGUGUCAAUCAUGCGCAUAACCCUGACAACGACGGCUCCUCCUCAACAUCCCAGGCUCCUCCUCCAUGUCCAAGUGCCCAAGUGCUCUUCAAGUCUGUAGGUCCUUCUCCUCGUGCCCAAAGUCUGGAAAUUUUGAUCUUUUUGGAACCAUUUGUCUCUGAAGCAAAAUAAUGUGCAGUAAGAUUCUGCCAUUAUGUUAACAUUAUGUGCAGUAAGAUUCUGCCAUUUUGUGUAUCUGAAGCAAAAUAAUGUGCAGUAAGAUUCUGCCAUUAUGUUAACAUUAUGUGCAGUAAGAUUCUGCCAUUUUGUGUUUCUGCAUUUCAAUUGUCAACGCAUAUUGAUCUGUGUAUUGAACAAAACAUAUAGGCUGUUCUUCGAAAGUUUGAGUAUUGAUUUCAGAAAGAAAAAAAGUGUUGCACUUA